AAGGAUUUAGCUUAAUAAAAGUAGUUGAUUUGCAUUCAAUUGAUGUAGGAUAAAUUCCUGCAAUCCUUA
rnacentral:tRNA from 1 species